rnacentral:rRNA from 1 species
UACGGAGGGGGCUAGCGUUGUUCGGAAUUACUGGGCGUAAAGCGCGCGUAGGCGGGCUGUUAAGUCGGGGGUGAAAUCCCGGGGCUCAACCCCGGAACUGCCCUCGAUACUGGCAGCCUAGAGGACGGAAGAGGCGAGUGGAAUUCCGAGUGUAGAGGUGAAAUUCGUAGAUAUUCGGAGGAACACCCGUGGCGAAGGCGGCUCGCUGGUCCGUUUCUGACGCUGAGGUGCGAAAGCGUGGGGAGCAAACAGG